rnacentral:rRNA from 1 species
CGUAGCGGCCUGUCGCGUCUGCUGUGAAAACCCAAGGCUUAACCUUGGGCUGGCAGUGGGUACGGGCAGGCUAAGUGCGGUAGGGAGACUGGAAUUCCUGGUGUACGGUGGAAUGCGCAGAUAUCAGAGGAACACCGGUGGCGAAGGCGGGUCUCUGGGCCGUUACUGACGCUGAGGAGCGAAAGCAUGGGGAGCGAACAGGAUUAAUACCCUGGUAUCCAUGCCGUAAACGUUGGGCACUAGUGUGGGGUCUGUUUCCACGGGUUCCGUGCCGUAGCUAACGCAUUAAGUGCCCCGCCUGGGGAGUACGGCCGCAAGGCUAAAACUCAAAGGAAUUGACGGGGGCCCGCACAAGCGGCGGAGCAUGCGGAUUAAUUCGAUGCAACGCGAAGAACCUUACCAAGGCUUGACAUACGCCGGAAGCAUUCAGAGAUGGGUGUGCCUUUUGGGCCGGUGUACAGGUGGUGCAUGGUUGUCGUCAGCUCGUGUCGUGAGAUGUUGGGUUAAGUCCCCGCAACGAGCGCAACCCUUGUCCUACGUUGCCAGCGGGUUAUGCCGGGGACUCGUGGGAGACUGCCGGGGUCAACUCGGAGGAAGGUGGGGAUGACGUCAAAUCAUCAUGCCCCUUAUGUCUUGGGCUUCAACGCAUGCUACAAUGGCCGGUACAACGGGGUUGCGAUACCGUGAGGUGGAGCGAAUCCCUAAAAGCCGGUCUCAGUUCGGAUUGGGGUCUGCA